AUCCUUCACUGGCAUAGGAGACAGCAUGAUCAAAAACAUGGAUAACCAUUGUACUCCAGAUGUUCUGAUCCCUGAGAGUUCCCCAAAUGUGGAAAAAUCAACUGAAUAAUCUUUGGUAGUAGAGUAAAGCAUGCAUCUAUCUCCC
ensembl:snRNA predicted gene, 26290